rnacentral:tRNA from 1 species
GGGGGCGUAGCUAAGAUGGUAGAGCGCUCGCUUGGAAUGCGAGAGGUACGGUUAUCGUACCCCGCGCCUCCA